rnacentral:rRNA from 1 species
UACGUAGGGGGCAAGCGUUGUCCGGAAUCAUUGGGCGUAAAGAGCGUGUAGGCGGCCAGAUAAGUCCGCUGUGAAAUCUCGAGGCUCAACUUCGAGCUGUCGGUGGAAACUGUCUGGCUAGAGUCCGGAAGAGGAGAAUGGAAUUCCUGGUGUAGCGGUGGAAUGCGUAGAGAUCCGGAAGAACACCGGUGGCGAAGGCGGUCUGCUGGGCAAUUGCUGACACUGAGGCGCGACAGCGUGGGGAGCAAACAGG